rnacentral:rRNA from 1 species
AGCGAACGCUGGCGGCAGGCCUAACACAUGCAAGUCGAGCGCCAUAGCAAUACGGAGCGGCAGACGGGAGAGUAACACGUGGGAACGUACCCUUUGGUUCGGAACAACCCAGGGAAACUUGGGCUAAUACCGGAUAAGCCCUCACGGGGAAAGAUUCAUCGCCGAAGGAUCGGCCCGCGUCUGAUUAGCUAGUUGGUGGGGUAAUGGCCCACCAAGGCGACGAUCAGUAGCUGGUCUGAGAGGAUGAUCAGCCUCACUGGGACUGAGACACGGCCCAGACUCCUACGGGAGGCAGCAGUGGGGAAUAUUGGACAAUGGGCGCAAGCCUGAUCCAGCCAUGCCGCGUGGGUGAUGAAGGCCCUAGGGUUGUAAAGCCCUUUCGGCGGGGAAGAUAAUGACGGUACCCGCAGAAGAAGCCCCGGCUAACUUCGUGCCAGCAGCCGCCGUAACAC